rnacentral:rRNA from 1 species
AUUGAACGCUGGCGGCAGGCCUAACACAUGCAAGUCGAGCGAGCGGCGGACGGGUGAGUAAUGUCUGGGAAACUGCCUGAUGGAGGGGGAUAACUACUGGAAACGGUAGCGAAUACCGCAUACCAUCAGAUGUGCCCAGAUGGGAUUAGCUAGUGGGUGGGGGAACGGCGCACCUAGGCGACGCUCCCUAGCUGGUCUGAGAGGGUGACCAGCCACACUGGAACUGAGACACGGUCCAGACUCCUACGGGAGGCAGCAGUGGGGAAUAUUGCACAAUGGGCGCAAGCCUGAUGCAGCCAUGCCGCGUGUGUGAAGAAGGCCUUCGGGUUGUAAAGCACUUUCAGCGGGGAGGCGUUACCCGCAGAAGAAGCACCGGCUAACUCCGUGCCAGCAGCCGCGGUAAUUC